GCCAACGGAUUAGAAGUCAUUGAAAGCAAGGAACAGAUGACAGAAAGGAGUCCAAAUUCAUUAUUAAAUGUCUGAUACGUUAUAAAGUUGAUAUUUAAUAGGAAUGAUUGUAUAACGGCUUAUUUAAUGUCAUUUAUUGCUCAUGAUUAUGUCAUUAAAAUUGAUGCUUUAUUCCUUUACCUAGAAUGAUCUAUAAAAGGAAGAAGUAUCAUCAUUUGUAAGGACACGAGAUACUAUUGAGAAUACACUGAAAUACUUAUCUAUUUACCCUCUACCAUUGUUCUCAAAAGUAUUUUAUUUUGUCUCUUGAUUUUCAGUAACCCAAAUUUUUCUUUUAGCUUUGACCAAGGACUCAGAUUUUUGGUUAAACACUGUCAUUGAUGAAACACUGAAAGAGCGAUAAGUGAUGGCCAAAGUAAUGAAAGAGAAUCUGAAAAAGGCUCAAAGUAGGAUAAAACUAUAUGCUGACAAAAAAAGAACUAAGAGAGAAUUUGAAGAAGGGGAUUGGGUAUUUAAUAUUUUUGAAGUUGCAACCAUAUAGGCAGGCAUAAGUAGCAAUCAGAAAAAGCUUGAAGCUGGCUUCCAAGUUCUUUGGCCCUUAUCAGAUCAUUAAAAAAAUUGGACAAGUUGCCUACAAGCUGAAGUUACCUCCUACAGCUAGAAUACAUCAUGUAUUUUAUAUUUCCCAGAUCAAGAAAAAGAUUGAAGAGAGAAUGGUGAAGAAAGGAAACAAGGCUACAACUCAGAUUUUGGUACCGUGGGCUAACAUAUUGCCCGAGAAAGUUACUUGGGAAGAUUACAACUUCAAUAAAUCUCAGUUUCAGGUUUUGAAGAACCUUGAGGAUAAUGUUCUAAAGGGGAAUGAAUAUUCAAGAAGGAAAAAGUUAGUUCAUUUUCUUACCUUUUGCAAUUGAGUCCUUAUUAGUGUAGUAGUAGUUUCAAUUAUGUCAGUCAAGUCACUUAGUUUGUUGUUUCUAUUCAAAGAAGUCCUACAUUCUGUUACAGGAUAGAAGGGCAGGUGUCAUGUUUGUAGGGACUGAGGUAGGAUCCAAGAGCUCACUCUUGGUACACUUUCAUACUUAAUAUGAGUAUAUUUUGAAAUUAAAUUAGAUAAUAA